rnacentral:rRNA from 1 species
AACUCGAAGAGUAGGGCGGGACACGUGGUAUCCUGUCUGAAUAUGGGGGGACCAUCCUCCAAGGCUAAAUACUCCUGACUGACCGAUAGUGAACCAGUACCGUGAGGGAAAGGCGAAAAGAACCCCGGCGAGGGGAGUGAAAAAGAACCUGAAACCGUGUACGUACAAGCAGUGGGAGCACCUUCGGGUGUGACUGCGUACCUUUUGUAUAAUGGGUCAGCGACUUAUAUUCUGUAGCAAGGUUAACCGUAUAGGGGAGCCGCAGGGAAACCGAGUCUUAACUGGGCGUUAAGUUGCAGGGUAUAGACCCGAAACCCGGUGAUCUAGCCAUGGGCAGGUUGAAGGUUGGGUAACACUAACUGGAGGACCGAACCGACUAAUGUUGAAAAAUUAGCGGAUGACUUGUGGCUGGGGGUGAAAGGCCAAUCAAACCGGGAGAUAGCUGGUUCUCCCCGAAAGCUAUUUAGGUAGCGCCUCGUGAACUCAUCUUCGGGGGUAGAGCACUGUUUCGGCUAGGGGGUCAUCCCGACUUACCAACCCGAUGCAAACUACGAAUACCGAAGAAUGUUAUCACGGGAGACACACGGCGGGUGCUAACGUCCGUCGUGAAGAGGGAAACAACCCAGACCGCCAGCUAAGGUCCCAAAGUCAUGGUUAAGUGGGAAACGAUGUGGGAAGGCACAGACAGCCAGGAUGUUGGCUUAGAAGCAGCCAUCAUUUAAAGAAAGCGUAAUAGCUCACUGGUCGAGUCGGCCUGCGCGGAAGAUGUAACGGGGCUAAACCAUGCACCGAAGCUGCGGCAGCGACACUAUGUGUUGUUGGGUAGGGGAGCGUUCUGUAAGCCUGCGAAGGUGUGCUGUGAGGC